CCUACGGGAGGCAGCAGUGAGGAAUAUUGGUCAAUGGGCGCGAGCCUGAACCAGCCAAGUCGCGUGAGGGAAGACGGUCCUAUGGAUUGUAAACCUCUUUUGUCGGGGAGCAAAAGACGCCACGCGUGGCGUUCCGAGAGUACCCGAAGAAAAAGCAUCGGCUAACUCCGUGCCAGCAGCCGCGGUAAUACGGAGGAUGCGAGCGUUAUCCGGAUUUAUUGGGUUUAAAGGGUGCGCAGGCGGAAGAUCAAGGCAGCGGUAAAAUUGAGAGGCUCAACCUCUUCGAGCCGUUGAAACUGGUUGUCUUGAGUGAGUGAGAGGUAUGCGGAAUGCGUGGUGUAGCGGUGAAAUGCAUAGAUAUCACGCAGAACUCCGAUUGCGAAGGCAGCAUACCGGCGCUCAACUGACGCUCAUGCACGAAAGUGUGGGUAUCGAACAGGAUUAGAUACCCGGGUAGUC
rnacentral:rRNA from 1 species